CCGGUUUCCUUGCAGUGUCUGGAAGGAAAUAAGAGGCCCUGAGACAAGAGAGAGAGCUCACCUAACAGUUCUUGUACCUUGCUGGCUUUUUCACUUGGCUACCAGACCUGGUGAAGUAACUCCCUUGCGACUGAGCCUCUGGCAAAUCAGUCUGCUCUGUGACUGACCGCUCCAGGUCUUUCCAUGUGCCGUCUGGACAAUAAAUGAUCUUGGCUGCUCAUGUCUGCUGAUUACUA